CUUGGGAGGCAGAGGCAGACAGA
rnacentral:piRNA from 1 species